rnacentral:rRNA from 1 species
UACGUAGGGUGCGAGCGUUGUCCGGAAUUAUUGGGCGUAAAGAGCUUGUAGGCGGUUUGUCGCGUCUGCUGUGAAAUCUCAAGGCUCAACCUUGAGCUUGCAGUGGGUACGGGCAGACUAGAGUGUGGUAGGGGAGACUGGAAUUCCUGGUGUAGCGGUGAAAUGCGCAGAUAGUCAGGAGGAACACCGAUGGCGAAGGCAGGUC